rnacentral:rRNA from 1 species
AGCUUGGGAAACUGGGUCUAAUACCGAAUAUGACCGCGCACUUCCUGGUGUGUGGUGGAAAGCUUUUGCGGUGUGGGAUGGGCCCGCGGCCUAUCAGCUUGUUGGUGGGGUAAUGGCCUACCAAGGCGACGACGGGUAGCCGGCCUGAGAGGGUGACCGGCCACACUGGGACUGAGAUACGGCCCAGACUCCUACGGGAGGCAGCAGUGGGGAAUAUUGCACAAUGGGCGCAAGCCUGAUGCAGCGACGCCGCGUGAGGGAUGACGGCCUUCGGGUUGUAAACCUCUUUCAAUAGGGACGAAGCGCAAGUGACGGUACCUAUAGAAGAAGGACCGGCCAACUACGUGCCAGCAGCCGCGGUAAUAC